GUUUGCAGAGUCGGAUGCAACUAACCCUGGAUGAGAAUCCAUUGGUCAGCGAAGUAUCUUUCCAGGAACUAGUUUUCUAGAAGGUUCUAUCUCCAGCGGGAUUUCUCAGCAGCUGCACAAGGUGCAUAGCCAUUUGUUGCUCAACACAGAGUGGGCCAUAAAUCCAGUGACAGCUGUCUUACAAAGAGAGAGAAGUUUGGAUAUCAGCAAAUCGAGGGAAGGCCACCAUGUGAAGAUGUAUAAAAGGUGUGGACAGACCUGUAACCCAAGGGAAUGCCAGCAACUGCCAAUGAUGACAAGGACCAGGAAGAGAUGCCCUGAGGCCAGCAUCUUUUCUCUAGGUCAUACUCCCCACCACGAUGUCCUGAACCAUCAUAUGCUCAAAGGCAAUGGAGCCUACUGACCACAGACUGGAUCCUCUGAAGCUGAGCAUCCAAAUAACUCUCUCUUAAUUCGAGGCUUUCCUCCUCAGGCAUUUUGACACAGUAACAGAAAGCUAGUAACACUCAGAGCUAUGUACACGAACAUGCACGCACGCACACAUGCGCGGGUGCACACACACACACACACACACACACACACACACACAUGUGUAAAUUAGUCAUUUUGCUAGUAGGCCAAGACGAGAGGCCAUGAAGGCAAAUGGUGAUUUCUGAUAAUUAAACCAAUGAGAACCAGAUACAAAUCAGAGAUUUGAUGAAUCAGGUUAGAGCAAAGGGAAACUUGAAGAAGUCUGUACUCAUACAGCAAAGAAGCAGACAGAAAAAUUCCUUUUACUGGAAGGCAAGAAUCCUGGUCUGCCUUUUGAGGUAGGUUUUAGCAAUUUUUUCCUACUCACCUGAUUUCCACUAUGAAAUAUAUCACCUUACCAAGGAGAUGCACUGGAGCAGAUUGGAACAUGAUUGCAUCUCCUCUUCUCCAGUUUCAAAUAAAAAACAAUUACAUUAGUUUUCUUCCAUGAAUAACAUUUUGGGGGAAUCUUAGUGUAAGCAGCCAGGGAAUGAACACUGUAUUGAAGGAAGGGUACUAGCUUCAUGAUUCCUCUUUUUGACCUUCCUUUUUGGCCUUCAUAGUCUUUGAAGGAACUCUAGCCAGCCCUAGCAUGGAAAACAUGGCUUUAGCAAGCCUUAUCCUUCUCCCCCAUUCCCUCUGCCUUGCUAA